rnacentral:rRNA from 1 species
GACGAACCGUGCGAACGUUGUUCGGAAUCACUGGGCUUAAAGGGCGCGUAGGCGGGUGUGCAAGUCUGCGGUGAAAGCCUCCAGCUUAACUGGAGAAGUGCCGUGGAUACUGCUCAUCUUGAGGAGGGUAGGGGCAUCUGGAACGGUCGGUGGAGCGGUGAAAUGCGUUGAUAUCGACCGGAACUCCGGUGGCGAAGGCGAGGUGCUGGACCCUUUCUGACGCUGAGGCGCGAAAGCUAGGGGGAGCAAACAGGG